GUCUCAAGUGGCUGUGGAGGAAUUGAUAGAUUUAGGAUGUUGUGCACAGCGCCCCCUUGGUGCUUGUAGUGUAGAUUGGACGCACUGUGGCAACAACUGGUUAGCUGUCAGAUGUGGCAGUCUCGGAGUAUUCGGAAGUUAGCCUUCGACGAGCUUGGUUCGGAGUUAAGAGUACCAUCAGACUGAUUGUAGGAUAUAUUUGGUUGUAUUUGUGCCAUCCUUCACGAGGAUUAUUUCUACAAGUCAGGAUUGUAUAGUGGAAGACUGAUUGGUCAUUUUGGUGUGGAUAUUUGCAGUCUGAAACUUAAGCUCUUUUGAGGAUUUGUGGUGGUUACCGAACUCGUGCCAGGUGGAAGGAUUUCCGAAAUUAGAUUCAUAAGAAACAGAAGGCCCUCAGUCACUCAUCAAGUCCCAGCAGGACUUCCGUGCAGAACACCGCACACGAAGAAUCGUAUAGAAAACCCCUUGGCCAGGGGUGAUCCAUCUCCGCCGUACUACAGGGUGAUCCAUCUCCGCAGUACUACAGGGUGAUCCACUUCCGUCGAACCACGGGGUAGCCUAACAACAUAUACCGGGUGGCCCAAAAGGAGCACGCAAGUUAUAAUUGAUUUAAUUGAAAAUUUGUGAUAUACUGAGAUAUUUGCAUAAUUGUUGCCCUUAUGUUUAUUGAUACCUGUUGUUAUAGUGUAUGUUUAUCGUUUAUUGAUCAAGACUUUGUUUAUUGAUACCUGAUUGAUAUAGAUAUCUGUGAAACGGAAAUUGAGGUAUAUUCUUCCUUUCACGAUUGCACUGAUUGACACCG